UGAGAGAAUUAUGAAACUCGGAGCAAUCUGUGGCUUAUAGAUGGGCCUGCGGCGCAUUAGCUAGUUGGUGAGGUAACGGCUCACCAAGGCGACGAUGCGUAGCCGACCUGAGAGGGUGAACGCCCACACUGGGACUGAGACACGCCCCAGACUCGUCCGGGAGCCAGCAGUAGGGAAUCUUCCGCAAUGGACGCAAGUCUGACGGAGCAACGCCGCGUGAGUGAUGAAGGUUUUCGGAUCGUAAAGCUCUGUUGCCCUAGACGAACAGCAAGGAGAGUAACUGCUCUUUGUGUGACGGUAUAGGAGAAGAAAGCCCCGGCUAACUACGUUCCAGCAGCCGCGGUAAUUCGUAGGGGGCAAGCGUUGUCCGGAAUUAUUGGGCGUAAAGCGCGCGCAGGCGGUCAAUUAAGUUGGGUGUUUAAGCCCGGGGCUCAACCCCGGUUCGCAUCCAAAACUGGUUGUCUUGAGUGUAGGAGAGGAAAGUGGAAUUCCACGUGUAGCGGUGAAAUGCGUAGAGAUGUGGAGGAACCCCAGUGGCGAAGGCGACUUUCUGGCCUAUAACUGACGCUGAGGCGCGAAAGCGUGGGGAGCAAACAGGAUUAGAUACCCUGGUAGUCCACGCCGUAAACGAUGCAUACUAGGUGUUGGGGAUUCGAUUCCUCGGUGCCGAAGUUAACACAGUAAGUAUACCGCCUGGGGAGUACGCUCGCAAGAGUGAAACUCAAAGG
rnacentral:rRNA from 1 species